rnacentral:lncRNA from 1 species
CGAAUUGAAUCGAAACCCAAAUCCAAUCGCAAAACAAAGGGAACAUAAUCAAAAUUGCGAAGCAAAUCGGGCCAUCGCUUCGAUUUCUAUGGUGUCAAAAUCGGAAAUUGGAAUCGAAGACUGCGCCGCCGAUAUCUCCGCAAAGCAAAUCCGCCUGCGUCUCCUUCUUCAUAUUUGACAGCGCUGCUGAUAUCUCCGCCCUCAUCAUCUCCACGCCCCUGCUUCUCUAGCUGCUUCAGUUCCGCCCAUCAAUCAGAGCCUGAAAUUCAGCCCCAAUUCCAUCCCUAUUUCUGCCCCAAUUCCAUCACUAAAUCUCAGCCACCAUUCAACCCGAUUGCCUCCGUGACCUGAUAUUUUCCCAGACGGCUUUGGCGGGAGCUGGCGGAUCACACCGGCCUCCCCAAAGCUGGGCGAGUUGCAAAUUUGGGAAUUCAGGGAUUUCGAGGUUUGAGAGUUUAUGGCGUUGGAGUCCGGAUGCAGUUGAGGAGGAGGUGGAGGAGGGCGUGCGGUGGCCGGAAUCUCGACCUUGAGGACGGAGGAGGA